rnacentral:rRNA from 1 species
AAUGGGCGAUUGAUUGGACGGCCGCGAUUGGCCCUUGUGCCAGCCGCCGCGGUGAUUCCAGCUCCAUAGCGUAUAUUAAAGUUGUUGCAGUUAAAACGUCCGUAGUCAAACUUUAGUCUUACUGGCGUAGUGGCCUGGUCUUCAUUGACCAAGCUCAUUGCUGCCGGAGACUCCAUGUUCAUUAGGGGAAAAUCUCUAGGGGUUUUUUUCUUAUUUGAACAAUUACCAUGAGCAAAUCAGAGUGUUUAAAGCAGGCUUUUAAGCUUGAAUGUGUUAGCAUGGAAUAAUGAAAUAUGACUUUAGUCCUAUUUUCGUUGGUUUAGGUACUCCAGUAAUGAUGAAUAGAAACGGUUAGGGGCAUUUGUAUUUGGUCGCUAGAGGUGAAAUUCUUGGAUUGACCGAAGACAAACUACUGCGAAAGCAUUUGACCCGGGACGUUUUCAUUGAUCAAGGUCUAAAGUUAAGGGAUCGAAGACGAUUAGAUACCGUCGUAGUCUUAACCACAAACUAUGCCGACUAGAGAUUGGGCGUGUUUAUUAUGACUCGCUCAGCAUCUUAGCGAAAGUAAAGUUUUUGGGUUCUGGGGGGAGUAUGGGGACGCAAGGCUGAAACUUAAAGGAAUUGACGGAAGGGCACCACCCAGGAGUGGAGCCUGCGGCUUAAUUUGACUCAACACGGGGAAACUCACCAGUCCAGACAUAGUAAGGAUUGACAGAUUGAAAGCUCUUCUAGAUUCUAUGGGUGGUGGUGCAUGGCCGUUCUAGUUCGUGAGUGAUUGUCUGGGUGAUUCCGAUACGAACGAGACUUAUCUGCUAAUUAGACAGGCAACUCUUUCCGGUUGGUCUAAAUG